GACGUAGGGCGCGAGCGUUGUCCGGAUUUAUUGGGCGUAAAGAGCUCGUAGGCGGUUUGUCGCGUCUGCUGUGAAAACUUCAGGCUCAACCUGGGGCUUGCAGUGGGUACGGGCAGACUAGAGUGCGGUAGGGGUGACUGGAAUUCCUGGUGUAGCGGUGAAAUGCGCAGAUAUCAGGAGGAACACCGGUGGCGAAGGCGGGUCUCUGGGCCGAUACUGACGCUGAGGAGCGAAAGCAUGGGGAGCGAACAGG
rnacentral:rRNA from 1 species